ACUCGGACCCCGGAAGUCGGGGUAGUGAUUUUUUACCGACCUCCCGAGUCGGAAUUCCAUCUCGCAGGGGCGUUUCAUUUGUAAUUUCCGACUCGGAGGUCGUUAUUCCGUGUUCCGAGAUCAUACUGGAACGAUAAACCCGACUUCCAAGUUCCGAGUUCCGAGGUUAACAGGAACGCAGCAGAAGUAGGUCGUCAACGUGCAGUUUGCCCGUAAUAUCGCGAGAGGUCGCCCGAGAACUGUGGAUACAAAUGAAAGAAUACUUUCACAUUUAUUGGUUUGUGCUGGGUAGUUUUCCCUCCUGGUUGCUUUAGAAGAUGAUAUUUCAGUAACAGGGGUUGUUUUUUCCCCUCUCAGAGCCAAGAGGUCUCUGCUCUCCGGUGCAGGAUGUUUGGUGACCAGUUGUCCCCUUGGCACACUGGCCUGUAACAGAUUGGGGUAUCCAUCUGUCCUUCAGUAAGAGCAGGGCAUCUCUCACCGCCACCCUCAGGAUGUGACACUGUUGAGUCCCAGUUGGUUUUUCAGUGAGUCACCUGUUUUGUUUUCCUCCUGCAAUGUUUAUGUGCACGCUCGAGCAGGAUGCCUGAGUGUGUUUCCAUCCCCAUUAGAGGACCAUUGCAAUGUCAUCAAUUUGUUUAACUGUUCAGGGUUCCCUGUGAUAUGUUUAUAUAGCUUCUCUGGGCGUUGGAUUCCCCCUCUCUUCUAAAGACGCCCACAGCACAGCCCAUUAACAGCUUUUUAAUUAGCUUGUUUUGAUAAUGAGGAACGGAGGGAUUUGCGUGUGAGGGGUGAUCGUUCAAACACUGCCAUGCGGCGUCCCUGUGGGAAGCAGCACGACGAAGUGGAAAAAAUACAUCAGGCUGCUUGAGGGAACGUCUGCAUUUCUGACUUGCCAGGGAGAACAACAGAAGCCUUUUCUGAUACAGUGGACCACAGACAACCCCAGAGAGCCCGGCACUCUGUCACCAGCGUGCAGACGAGUACAAAGAUGGUCUAAAUUUAGGUCCUGAUGCGGCUUUGUGGACCCGGAGUCCGAGACCCCCCUCUAUCCUCUCCCAAACCCUAUUCCACAAUUCUCAUCCAUCAAACAUCCAACAAAGAGAAUAUCAACACAACCAAAGCUAUGUCUGUUCUUUUCUCUCUCCCCCUCAACCUCAAUGUCCUUUUUGUCCAUGUAAUUCACCUUUGAGCUUGCUAUUUCUUGUAAAAAAAACAACAAAUAAAUACCAAUAUGAUUGCAAUAAA